GCAUCGGUGGAUCAGUGGUAGAAUGCUCGCCUGCCACGCGGGCGGCCCAGGUUCGAUUCCCGGCCGAUGCA
rnacentral:tRNA from 1 species